AAUAACAACAAAGAGAAUGUCUGUCUCAACUCUUUUACAAGUAAUUGUACCAAUAAAUUACAUAUCCCCUUCCUUUGUCCCACUUGAAUGAUUUUUAUGAGUAAUUUACCUAAAAAGAGAACUAUAUAUACCUUAAUUGCCCAUUAUAAGAGGAAUAGGGCAAACAAUAUAGUGUAGCACAAUAAAUUACAAUGAUUGUGUAAGAAGAAAAAAAAGUUCUUUACGCUGUCGAUGUGUAUAAGUUAAAUCCUUUAAUUUUUGGAAACAGCUUGUGCAGCUUCUUUCAUUUCCAGUAAGGCAUCCUGAAAACACUUGGCUAGAACUUUGGGAUCAGGGAUGAUAUCUUUAGCCACCAAUAUUUGCAUGUCAGCUCUUCCUGCAUAGCUCACCAUAUGCAUUGUGAUCGCAUGAGAGAGGGCAGUAGAAG
rnacentral:misc_RNA from 1 species